GACGUAGGGCGCGAGCGUUGUCCGGAUUUAUUGGGCGUAAAGAGCUCGUAGGCGGCUUGUCGCGUCGAAUGUGAAAACCCGAGGCUCAACCUUGGGCUUGCAGUGGGUACGGGCAGACUAGAGUGCGGUAGGGGUGACUGGAAUUCCUGGUGUAGCGGUGGAAUGCGCAGAUAUCAGGAGGAACACCGAUGGCGAAGGCAGGUCUCUGGGCAUUAACUGACGCUGAGGAGCGAAAGCAUGGGGGAGCGAACAGG
rnacentral:rRNA from 1 species